rnacentral:tRNA from 1 species
GAGGGGAGGUCAACCAACAAGAACUGCUAAUCCUUGCAUCUGAGUCUAGAACCUCAGUCCCCUUA